rnacentral:lncRNA from 1 species
CCUGAACUCUUAAAUACUCAUAGUCUGUAAGAGAAAAGGCUCCUGACCUAAGUUGGCCAGAAGCCCCUCUCAGGUUUAUACUCCAAAAUAAGCCCAUGUUUGACUGUUAAGCCACUUUUCAUGUUUCUUUCUUCUUUCUUCAACUCUUACACCACUCAGAUAUGUUUUGAAAGAACAAAUCCAGGAACACCAUUUUGCUGCCUCAGUUUCCUGACUUCAAAGGCCCUGAGAGGCUGCCAUAAGUGGGGUGACAUAGCUAGUGGCAGAAGUGUGCCUGAAACCGAGACAGGUCAGUGAGGCCAGUUGAGAGAUUCUAGCCCCAGUGACUGCUGAUGCUGAGUUUAAUGUAGAUUUAAGGCAGAUUACAUUCAGGGGGGUUAGUAUGCUUGCGGACUUCUAUGUGAGGUAGGUUUUUUUGUUUUUUUUUUUUUUUUUUUAGACAGCAUCUCACUCUAUCACCCAGGUUGGAGUGCUGGAGUACAGUGGCACAAUCAUAGCUCACUGUAAUCUUGAAACUCCUCGGCUCAAGCCACCCUCUCACAGCAGCCUCCUAAGUAGCUAGGGCUAGAGGUGCAUACCGGCACACCCAGCUAAUUUUUAAAAAUUUCUUAGAGACAGGAUCUUACUAUGUUGCCCAGGGUGGACUUGAACUCCUGACCUCAAGCAAUGUUCCUGCCUCAGCCUCCCAAAGUACUGGGAUUAUAAGUGUGAGCCACUGCACCUGGCCCCAGUGAAGUAGUACUUUUUAUUAUACCCACAUAUAAGACUAAUUUGGGACAUUGGCAAACAGUAUCUCCCUGCUAAUAGUUGUACAGACUUUGAUCAUAGUACCUCUAGUACCUCACCCAUUAUCUUCCUAGAAUGGAAAGGCUCAAAUCAGGUGUAUUAGGCCAUUCUUUCAUUGCUAUAAAGAAAUACCUGAGACUGGGUAAUUUAUUUUUAUUUUGUUGAGAUGGAGUCUUGCUCUGUCACCCAGGCUGGAGUGCAGUGGUGUGAUCUUGGCUCACUGAAACCUCCACCUCCUGGGUUCAAGCGAGUCUCCUGCCUCAGCCUCCCAAGUAGCUGGGACUACAGGCAUGCACCACCACGCCUGUCUAAUUUUUGUAUUUU